UACGUAGGGUGCAAGCGUUAAUCGGAAUUACUGGGCGUAAAGCGUGCGCAGGCGGCUUUGCAAGACAGAUGUGAAAUCCCCGGGCUUAACCUGGGAACUGCAUUUGUGACUGCAUGGCUGGAGUGCGGCAGAGGGGGAUGGAAUUCCGCGUGUAGCAGUGAAAUGCGUAGAUAUGUGGAGGAACACCGAUGGCGAAGGCAGCCCCCUGGGUCAAGAUUGACGCUCAUGCACGAAAGCGUGGGGAGCAAACAGG
rnacentral:rRNA from 1 species